GCCACGCUGUUCGUGGUGGAUCUGGUGUUCAUACCCAGGUCUGUGGGACUCCAAGCCUGGGACGAAGCUGCCACCUGCCUGCCCUCCGCAGUCAGGGGUGCCUCGUCGGGAUCCUUCUCGAGUUCAGGGUCUAAAAUUCCCCCUCACCCCGACAGCUUGGGGUGGGAGUUGCCUGAUCGGCCCUCCUUCCUCCCUGGCAGGCUUGUCGCUGAUUGUCAGCGUCGGACCACUCUGCGCCUGGUUAUUUUCACUAAUGAUUUGCAAAUUACUAAGGAUCAAAGAAGGAAUUGUUUCAGAACUGGAAGAGAAACACCCACAGCACCUGCACAAGGUUACCGCAAAUCACUUAGAAUUUCUACUGAAACAAGAUCUUUGCCUGUUCCUUUCAAGAAAGUAUCCAAUCUCAUGGCAUCUUAAAAGGUUGGGAGGUAUCUUCUCCAGCAAAGCCUUUCCACCUGCAACUCUUUUUUGGUCACCUAUUUCUCUACCUACUCCUCUCUUGAUCAAACUAUAAGGAAGCAUGAAAUGUCAUUUGCUCUGUGAAGGAACAAGAUGGACAGGGGCUGAAUUGGUGUUUGUAAGCAUCCAAGAGCCAGCAGGUUUUUAUGGAGUCAUCACU